rnacentral:rRNA from 1 species
GAAACGACUGCUAAGACUGGAUAGGAAAAGUAAAGGCAUCUUUACUUUUUUAAAAGACCUUCUUUGAAGGUAUGCUUAAGGAGGGGCUUGCGACACAUUAGUUAGUUGGCAGGGUAAAGGCCUACCAAGACUAUGAUGUGUAGCUGGACUGAGAGGUUGAACAGCCACAUUGGGACUGAGACACGGCCCAAACUCCUACGGGAGGCAGCAGUAGGGAAUUUUCGGCAAUGGAGGAAACUCUGACCGAGCAACGCCGCGUGAACGAUGAAGUACCUCGGUAUGUAAAGUUCUUUUAUUAAGGAAGAAAAAAGAGUGGAAAAACUCCCUUGACAGUACUUAAUGAAUAAGCCCCGGCUAAUUAUGUGCCAGCAGCCGCGGUAAUACAUAAGGGGCGAGCGUUAUCCAGAGUUAUUGGGCGUAAAGGAUGCGUAGGCGGUUUAAUAAGUCUAUAGUUUAAUUUCAGUGCUUAACGCUGUUGUGCCAUAGAAACUGUUUUACUAGAGUGAGUUAGAGGCAAGCGGAAUUCCAUGUGUAGCGGUAAAAUGCGUAAAUAUAUGGAGGAACACCAGAGGCGUAGGCGGCUUGCUGGGACUUUACUGACGCUGAGGCACGAAAGCGCGGGGAGCAAACAGGAUUAGAUACCCUGGUAGUCCACGCCGUAAACGAUGAGUACUAAGUGUCGGGUAAAACCGGUACUGAAGUUAACACAUUAAGUACUCCGCCUGAGUAGUACGUACGCAAGUAUGAAACUUAAAGGAAUUGACGGGAUUCCGCACAAGCGGUGGAUCAUGUUGUUCAAUUCGAAGAUACACGAAAAACCCUACCAGGUCUUGACAUUUUCUUGCGAAGUUAUAGAAAUAUAAUGGAGGUUAUCAGGAAAACAGGUGGCGCAUGGUUGUCGUCAGCUCGUGUCGUGAGAUGUUAGGUUAAGUCCUAAAACGAGCGCAACCCUUGUCGUUAAUUGCCAGCAUGUAAUGAUGGGGACUUUAACGAGACUGCCAAUGAAAAAUUGGAGGAAGGUGGGGAUUACGUCAAAUCAUCAUGCCCCUUAUGAUCUGGGCUACAAACGUGAUACAAUGGUUGAUACAAAGAGUAGCUGAAACGCGAGUUAUUAGCCAAUCUCACAAAAUCAAUCUCAGUUCGGAUUGAAGUCUGCAACUCGACUUCAUGAAGUUGGAAUCGCUAGUAAUCGCGAAUCAGCAUGUCGCGGUGAAUACGUUCGCGGGGUUUGUACACACCGCCCGUCA